UGGGGAAUUUUGGACAAUGGGCGCAAGCCUGAUCCAGCCAUGCCGCGUGAGUGACGAAGGCCUUAGGGUUGUAAAGCUCUUUUGGCGGGGAAGAUAAUGACGGUACCCGCAGAAUAAGCUCCGGCUAACUUCGUGCCAGCAGCCGCGGUAAUACGAAGGGAGCUAGCGUUGUUCGGAAUCACUGGGCGUAAAGCGCACGUAGGUGGGCAGUUAAGUCAGGGGUGAAAGCCCGAGGCUCAACCUCGGAAUUGCCUCUGAUACUGGCUGUCUAGAGUUCGAGAGAGGUGAGUGGAAUUCCUAGUGUAGAGGUGAAAUUCGUAGAUAUUAGGAAGAACACCGGUGGCGAAGGCGGCUCACUGGCUCGAUACUGACACUGAGGUGCGAAAGCGUGGGGAGCAAACAGGAUUAGAUACCCGUGUAGUCCCUGAGCGGGCUGGCAAGGCGCAU
rnacentral:rRNA from 1 species